GAUGAACGCUGGCGGCGUGCCUAAUACAUGCAAGUCGAGCGAACGGACGAGAAGCUUGCUUCUCUGAUGUUAGCGGCGGACGGGUGAGUAACACGUGGAUAACCUACCUAUAAGACUGGGAUAACUUCGGGAAACCGGAGCUAAUACCGGAUAAUAUUUUGAACCGCAUGGUUCAAAAGUGAAAGACGGUCUUGCUGUCACUUAUAGAUGGAUCCGCGCUGCAUUAGCUAGUUGGUAAGGUAACGGCUUACCAAGGCAACGAUGCAUAGCCGACCUGAGAGGGUGAUCGGCCACACUGGAACUGAGACACGGUCCAGACUCCUACGGGAGGCAGCAGUAGGGAAUCUUCCGCAAUGGGCGAAAGCCUGACGGAGCAACGCCGCGUGAGUGAUGAAGGUCUUCGGAUCGUAAAACUCUGUUAUUAGGGAAGAACAUAUGUGUAAGUAACUGUGCACAUCUUGACGGUACCUAAUCAGAAAGCCACGGCUAACUACGUGCCAGCAGCCGCGGUAAUACGUAGGUGGCAAGCGUUAUCCGGAAUUAUUGGGCGUAAAGCGCGCGUAGGCGGUUUUUUAAGUCUGAUGUGAAAGCCCACGGCUCAACCGUGGAGGGUCAUUGGAAACUGGAAAACUUGAGUGCAGAAGAGGAAAGUGGAAUUCCAUGUGUAGCGGUGAAAUGCGCAGAGAUAUGGAGGAACACCAGUGGCGAAGGCGACUUUCUGGUCUGUAACUGACGCUGAUGUGCGAAAGCGUGGGGAUCAAACAGGAUUAGAUACCCUGGUAGUCCACGCCGUAAACGAUGAGUGCUAAGUGUUAGGGGGUUUCCGCCCCUUAGUGCUGCAGCUAACGCAUUAAGCACUCCGCCUGGGGAGUACGACCGCAAGGUUGAAACUCAAAGGAAUUGACGGGGACCCGCACAAGCGGUGGAGCAUGUGGUUUAAUUCGAAGCAACGCGAAGAACCUUACCAAAUCUUGACAUCCUUCGACAACUCUAGAGAUAGAGCUUUCCCCUUCGGGGGACAAAGUGACAGGUGGUGCAUGGUUGUCGUCAGCUCGUGUCGUGAGAUGUUGGGUUAAGUCCCGCAACGAGCGCUACCCUUAAGCUUAGUUGCCAUCAUUAAGUUGGGCACUCUAAGUUGACUGCCGGUGACAAACCGGAGGAAGGUGGGGAUGACGUCAAAUCAUCAUGCCCCUUAUGAUUUGGGCUACACACGUGCUACAAUGGACAAUACAAAGGGCAGCGAAACCGCGAGGUCAAGCAAAUCCCAUAAAGCUGUUCUCAGUUCGGAUUGUAGUCUGCAACUCGACUACAUGAAGCUGGAAUCGCUAGUAAUCGUAGAUCAGCAUGCUACGGUGAAUACGUUCCCGGGUCU
rnacentral:rRNA from 1 species